rnacentral:rRNA from 1 species
GUUUUUCAAAACAUGGUUUUUUGAAUAUAAUUUUAAAUCAAUUCUGCCCCCUGAAGAUUUUAAAUGGCCGCAGUAUUUUGACUGUGCAAAGGUAGCAAAAUAAUUUGUUCUUUAAUUAAGGACUGGAAUGAAAGAGUUAAUGAAAUAGUUACUUUAUUAGUUAAAAAAUUAAAAAUUAAUUUUAAGUAAAAAUUCUUAAGUUAAAAUAAAAGACGAGAAGACCCUAUAGAGUUUUAAUUUAAAUAUUAUUUAUUAAAUAAUAUAUUAUUAUAUUUAGUAAAUAAUAUUUUAAUUUUUACUGGGGCGGUAGAUUAAUUUAAUAAAAUUAAUUUAAAUAUUAAACUUUGAUUUAAGGUUUUUUGACUUGUUUAAAAGUUAUAAGAUUAAAUUACCUUAGGGAUAACAGCGUAAUAUUUUUGGAGAGUUCAAAUCGAUAAAAGUGUUUGCGACCUCGGUUGAA